UACGUAGGGUGCGAGCGUUGUCCGGAAUUAUUGGGCGUAAAGGGCUCGUAGGCGGUCCGUCACGUCGGGAGUGAAAACUCGGGGCUCAACCCCGAGCCUGCUUCCGAUACGGGCAGACUAGAGGUAUGCAGGGGAGAAUGGAAUUCCUGGUGUAGCGGUGAAAUGCGCAGAUAUCAGGAGGAACACCGGUGGCGAAGGCGGUUCUCUGGGCAUGUCCUGACGCUGAGGAGCGAAAGUGUGGGGAGCGAACAGG
rnacentral:rRNA from 1 species